AACGAACGCUGGCGGCAGGCCUAACACAUGCAAGUCGAGCGCCCAGCAAUGGGAGCGGCAGACGGGUGAGUAACGCGUGGGAACCUUCCCAAUGGUACGGAAUAGCUCAGGGAAACUUGAGGUAAUACCGCAUAAGCCCGAAAGGGGAAGAUUUAUCGCCAUUGGAUGGGCCCGCGUAGGAUUAGCUAGUUGGUGAGGUAAUGGCUCACCAAGGCGACGAUCCUUAGCUGGUUUGAGAGAAUGACCAGCCACACUGGGACUGAGACACGGCCCAGACUCCUACGGGAGGCAGCAGUGGGGAAUCUUGGACAAUGGGCGAAAGCCUGAUCCAGCCAUGCCGCGUGAGUGACGAAGGUCUUCGGAUUGUAAAGCUCUUUUGCCAGGGACGAUAAUGACGGUACCUGGAGAAUAAGCCCCGGCUAACUUCGUGCCAGCCGCCGCAGU
rnacentral:rRNA from 1 species